rnacentral:lncRNA from 1 species
AGUGGGUUUGAUGAAGAGGUUAAAAGGUGUAUCGGGGGAGGAGAUGACAAGACCAGUCAACAUCAGGACAUCGGCCAAAGUGGGGGUCUUGGGCCUGUUGCCGAAGAGGAAUGCAUUGAGGGCGCCAGACCAAAAGUAAGAUGCCGCAAUGACCAAAGAAUCAUUCCUCUCCAUUUGAGACAGAGACAAGUUUAUGCAGUGGCCGAUUUUUAUUUCGUCCUAGAGAACUCUCUUGGAGUUUGACAUCCUCAGGAACCAUUCUCUCCAACCUGAGGUUUCAUUCGGCCAUAACCUAAAUGUACCUGACCAAUUGUUUAGAUCCAUGGUCGAUUGCUUGAAGGGAAUUCUAUGAGUCACCAAAUUAAUUAACUCGGUUGGAUCUGGAUUUCCCAUGGGGCCAAAACCAAUAAGACCAGGCGCGUCAGAUAUAGGGAUGGUGAUUCUUUGCCUAAGCUCCUGAGAAG